AGAAUCAUGAUUUGGAUAGUUGAAAGGAACAAGUCUGAGUUGCAAGUUGUAAAGAUGAUAAAAGAAGAUCAUAAUUAGAGGAAAAAAGGGAGAGGAAUCACAUUUUUCACAGCCACAGGGAAACAGGUUACAUGUCAGAGGUAGGAUACAAGAAGAUAUACCCUCAAGUACAGAGCUAGGAGUAUAGACUCUGUCAGACAGCAGCCACACAGAGAGCUGCUUGUUUUCUUCUCAUCAUCAUUUAUUCGACCAACCAAUAUACUACUCGUAAGUAAUACUAACAUUAUAACAACUACAACAACAAUCAAUUACUACUACACAUGCUACAGUGUACUCUUCUCAUUGUUUGCUUUCAUUUAAUUCCUUGAAAAGUGAGUAAAAAUAACAUCCUUUCCUGGAAAUCAGACAAAAGCUUCCACAGUUAAAGCAAAAAAACUGCUUUUUGAGAAAAAAAAUAAAAAAUGAAUGCUGUUAGCCCAGGAAUCUAAUGAUCCUUCUCUUCCUCUAUUCCUGUCUCCGCCUACUUCUCCAUCACUUUUUUCACAACUUAAAUCAUUAGUCAUUUACUAACACAGCUCAAAGUAGGUGAAUUCAAUGAUGUAAUUAUCACUCUUCGGUUACUUCCUAUAUACUCGUAUCAGAGACGGACUCAUAAAUUUAGUUUAUGAGUUCUGAAUAGAUUAUGUAUGUACAUAUAUGAUAUAUCAGAAAGUUCAAACUAAAGCUACUGAUUCUACCGAACCGGUAGCCACGAAUGUGGCUCCCUUCCCCUGCCUCUUAUGACCUAAAUUAGCAAACUAUUUUUCCAGUACCUUUUGCGAGCUGUUUAUGAUGUUUUCCUAUUUGAAUUGGUGCCAGUCAUGUUAGCUGUCUCGUUUGAAAAGAAAAAAAACGUUGAAUUGCCUAGUCAAAAAAAGCUCAAAAGAACUUUUUUUUUUCUCUCAUAUCAGCUUUUAGGCUGUUAAUAAAUCAAAGAUUUAGCAUGUUUUUUUUUUUUUUAACUUUUGAGAUCCUUAAUUAAUCAAGGUUGGAACACAUCAAGUUUAAAUGUGACUUAGACAAAGCUUAAUUGCAAGAAAAGAGGAUUGUUGGCUGUGAUUAAGACCGACAAAGAUGUAUGUAAUCUCUAUUAUUAACAUAAUUAAGAAGCUGUCAUUUUCUUAAAAAUAGUUGUGUCAUGUGGGCAGGAAGCAUCAUUCCUUUUUAUUUACUUUAUUUAGGUGGUAUCAUAUUCUUUUUCAAUUGACAGAAGAAGCAUCUUCUAAUUUCAGUAACUCUAAACCUACUAACCUCUCUAUUAUCACUUCAAUGUGUAUUUUUUAAUACAAUACCUACUAAUGUAGUAUAUUAAAUUAUUCUUUCAGCUCCUAUGUUUCCUCAACACAUCAAAAUGUUGCCUUGAACAAGUAAUUUAUUAUGUUAGUUGAGAUAAUCAUUUAUGUAUCUUCAUCUUUGUAUGGCUGGGGAAUAAAUGGCCUUUAAGUAGUUGAAUAGUAAUCAUAAUCAUCAUUGUAAGUAAAUGAUGCAGGAGAGAGAGAGAGAGAGGGGAGGGAGGGGUCAUCUUUUAUUCUCUUUUUUUUUUUGGUAAUUAAGGAGAGGACAUUUUUGAAUCUAUUGAUAAAAUAAUUGACAAAUUUGUAAAUAGAGGUGGACGGAGCCUAUUAGAUAAUUGACAAAUUUGUAAAUAGAGGUGGACGGAGCCUAUUAGAGAUUCAACUAAACCUGAUUUCUCGGCACAUGAUAUAGAUACAUAAGUGGAAAAUUAUUAAAAUUUUAACUAAUAAGAGUAUACUCUGAGCUCAUAAUCUUAAAAGUAAUGUGUCUGGUAUUUGCUAGUUAGGAACACAUCACGUUUAAAUUCUGAAUCCCCUUCGAUCAUAGAAUGCCUUCAGCCAAGUGACUUCUAACUAUAUAUAGUAGUAACAAGAUUGCUAGUCAAGUGUAAAGACUAUGUGACAGGUGAUAUAACUGUUGAUAACAUUUAUGUGUGGUAUGAAUUGAGAGUUAAAUAAAUACAAACUAUAUUCUAGAAGUGAUAAAAUAUGUUGGUAGAAUGAACAGCAUAUACAAUCAUAAAAGUAGCACAUAUGUGAUAAUUGUGAUUCUUAUCAAUCUUGUUAUGUUAUUCCACUGAAGUGACUGACUGCUGGCAGUUGUCAGUAAAACAAGAAGAGACAAUUCUUAUCUUUGAUGUAGUUAUAUUGAUGAUAAAAGAGAGGAAGAAUCUACACUUUGAGUGAAUUUUUAUUUGAAUUACUAUAAUUUUUUUCAUUUUUUCUUUGGAAGCUAUCUUUAUCCAACAUAUUCUUCUUGUUUAGUAAUGUUACUUUUAUUCAAAGGAAGAAUCACAUUCUGUUUUUUUUUUUUCCUUGAGGAUAAUAAUAUUCAUGCAUUACUUGACAAAGAAAACUUCCUCCUUAAGUUUUCAAGACUAAACUUAGCUGCAAAAUAGGAAAAUAAAAAGAUGAAAUUUUUAGGAUCUAAAAACCAAAAAGAAAAAAGGACUAUCAUACUAAGUUAUUGUUACAAUUCUACCAUCUCCUAAGGCUAUGGUUGCACUUGCUGACACAUAUUUCUUCUCCCUUUGUGUGUUUUACCUAUGAGUGCAUAAGUCCAAAAGUUUCUUUCUUCCUUCUACUAUUUCAUCAAAGAAGUCAUCAAGUUGGCCAAUGAUGCUUUCUGCCCCACAUUUCAACAUUCCAAAGCAAUCUUUCAAAUUUUCAAUCUUAUCAUGGAUGUCAACUUGUGAUAGUACUAAUCCACAUUCUUUGGCUCUUUCUAGUUCAAUUUUCAGCUCAG
rnacentral:lncRNA from 1 species